rnacentral:pre_miRNA from 1 species
AAUAAGAUCAUUUUUUAGUUGUUAGAUAUAACGUUUUGACUUUUCAUGUUAUUUAAAUUUUUUUGCGAUUAAUAUUUUUAUUGUUACUAGAUGAUAAAAUAUGAAUAAUACUUUAUGCAUGACUAAUUUUUUUAAGUUUUUAUACAAAUCUUUCAAAUAAGACGAAUGGUCAUAGCACUGGACACACAAAUCGAAAAAUGACGUUAUU